CAGGCCUAACACAUGCAAGUCGAGCGGAUGACGGGGGCUUGCUCCUUGAUUCAGCGGCGGACGGGUGAGCAAUGCCUAGGAAUCUGCCUGGUAGUGGGGGACAACGUUUCGAAAGGAACGCUAAUACCGCAUACGUCCUACGGGAGAAAGCAGGGGACCUUCGGGCCUCUUGCCAUCAGAUGUGCCCAGAUGGGAUUAGCUAGUAGGUGGGGUAACGGCUCACCUAGGCGACGAUCCCUAGCUGGUCUGAGAGGAUGACCAGCCACACUGGAACUGAGACACGGUCCAGACUCCUACGGGAGGCAGCAGUGGGGAAUAUUGCACAAUGGGCGCAAGCCUGAUGCAGCCAUGCCGCGUGUAUGAAGAAGGCCUUCGGGUUGUAAAGUACUUUCAGCGGGGAGGAAGGCGUUGAGGUUAAUAACCUCAGCGAUUGACGUUACCCGCAGAAGAAGCA
rnacentral:rRNA from 1 species